CGGGUUGCUUGAGAGUGCAGCUCUAAGUUGGUGGUAAACUCCAUCUAAGGCUAAAUAUGACCACGAGACCGAUAGCGAACAAGUACCGUGAGGGAAAGUUGAAAAGAACUUUGAAGAGAGAGUUAAAGAGUACGUGAAACCGUUCAGGGGUAAACCUGUGAAACCCAAAAGAUCGAAUGGGGAGAUUCAUCGUCAGCGGCGCUGGCUUCCGUGUGGAUCGCGAUGCUCUCGGGGUCUCUCGGCCUCGGUGUCACGCGUCCGCUGCGGUAUGUCCGACGCUCGUCGUCGUGCACUUCUCCCCUAGUAGGACGUCGCGACCCGUUGGGUGUUGGCCUACGGCCCGAUCGGUCGACUGUAACGAGCGCGUUAACGCGCGCUCGCUGCAGACCGUCGGUUGCCCGGCCGACUGCCCGGCGGUAUAGAUCGCUAUGAUAAAGGUAUUGAGCCGCAUUAAGUGCGUUCUGGCUCGACGGCAGCCUCGCCUCGCUCGGAUUUUUACGGACCCAGUGCCGUUGCCGGGCGCUUGGCGCGGGCGUUCGCCGUCGAUGUCCUCGAACUGGCUCGUUACAAUCUCGAAAUACCGGUCGGCGACGCUACUGCUUUGGGUACUUUCAGGACCCGUCUUGAAACACGGACCAAGGAGUCUAACAUGUGCGCGAGUCAUUGGGACUUGUUUUGAAGCCUAAAGGCGAAAUGAAAGUGAAGAUCGACCUUAAGCGUCGAUCGUGGGAGGAUGGCUCGCGUUACGAUGCGAGCCCGCACUCCCGGGGCGUCUCGCGCUCAUUGCGAGCGGAGGCGCACCCAGAGCGUACACGUUGGGACCCGAAAGAUGGUGAACUAUGCCUGGUCAGGACGAAGUCAGGGGAAACCCUGAUGGAGGUCCGUAGCGAUUCUGACGUGCAAAUCGAUCGUCGGAACUGGGUAUAGGGGCGAAAGACUAAUCGAACCAUCUAGUAGCUGGUUCCCUCCGAAG
rnacentral:rRNA from 1 species